rnacentral:lncRNA from 9 species
CUGUUAAAUAAAAUGCGUUACAUUAAAUUCUUAGCCUAAAGCACCACACUGAAGUGAGGGCUUAGAAAUGAUGGGACCAGUUUUCUGUUUUAUAUUAAAAUAAAAAUAAGCCAAGAUCUAGUCAUUCUUUUGGAUAUAGGUUUUCAGGAGUGAGAUAGCUGCCUGGUUAAGAUGAAUAAUAGCCUAGCUUCCAGUGUACAGGGUGUUUGAUGGCAGAGAAGUAUUAAUGUGGAACUGCUGAAGGAAAUAACUAGUUAUCACUGCAGCAGUUCCUUGUAAUCACUGAAAAGGAUACUCUUCUCUGAGAAGGAUGUCAAAAGAUCGGCUCAGCUCAGGGUGCAGUUUGCACUACUAGCUCCUUGGACAGCUGUAAGAAGAGUCUCUGGCUCUUUAGACUACUGGAUGAAUUCUGAGCCGGUACCCCCACCUCAAGAGGAAGGAUGGAUCAAUUUUAGGUGAAUUGAAGCCUAUACUAAACAGCCUCCAAAGGAUAUUCCAAGCAAGUGAGCCCUGAGACUGCAAGCAGCUCUAAGAAGUUCCGCAUUGAUCAGGUCUUCCCUUUUGAGAAUCUGGAUAAGCUCCAACCAAUCUAAAAGGAUGGUUUGCAGACUGUCUGGAGAAAA